rnacentral:rRNA from 1 species
AUAAGGUAUCUACACCUGAAUAAAAUAGGGUGUAAGAAGCG